CCUACGGGUGGCAGCAGUGGGGAAUAUUGGACAAUGGGGGCAACCCUGAUCCAGCCAUGCCGCGUGUGUGAAGAAGGCCCUCGGGUUGUAAAGCACUUUCAGUGAGGAAGAACGCCUGGUGGUUAAUACCCAUCAGGAAAGACAUCACUCACAGAAGAAGCACCGGCUAACUCCGUGCCAGCAGCCGCGGUAAUACGGAGGGUGCGAGCGUUAAUCGGAAUUACUGGGCGUAAAGCGCGCGUAGGUGGCUUGGUAAGCCGGUUGUGAAAGCCCCGGGCUCAACCUGGGAACGGCAUCCGGAACUGUCAAGCUAGAGUGCAGGAGAGGAAGGUAGAAUUCCCGGUGUAGCGGUGAAAUGCGUAGAGAUCGGGAGGAAUACCAGUGGCGAAGGCGGCCUUCUGGACUGACACUGACACUGAGGUGCGAAAGCGUGGGUAGCAAACAGGAUUAGAUACCCCGGUAGUC
rnacentral:rRNA from 1 species